GAACAGGAGGACGCGCGCGAUGACGAAGUCAGUGACGAUGACGCCCCGAACCUAUGCACCGCAAAGCCGACGUACGAAUCGUCGUCGUCGUCGUCGUCGUCGUCGUCGUCGUCGCCGUCGUUGACGCCCUGCCGUCGACUCUGUGUGUUCCUCUUUUCCUCUCUCACGCUCUCCGCCUUUUCUGGUCUAACCUUCCUGAUGCCGACAUCGAUCGGUGCUUUUAUCCUGCGUCCUUCUCCUCCACAGCCGGCUAAAUGUCACUUCUCGCGCCACCGUUUGAACGUAUUCCUUGCCAAAAAAAAAAAAAAUCCUGGCAUCCUCGGUGUGACACAGAUUUAGAUGCAUUUUUCGAUUCGUGUACUGAGAAUGAGACAAGUUCGUUGAGAAAAUUAGGAAUCGUUGGAACUGCAAUAGGAGUCUCAGAAAACGGAAAGAAGUCGAGCGGUUUCGAAGUGCGAAGAGGAAGUUUCUGCGUGAAUGAUUGGACUUACGUAAAUCGUAUAAAUAUAUCCGCAACAAAGCUCCAGAGGCAAACUCAGCAGAACAGUUACAAAUACUGCUCUUGCUCGUUAACCUUAUAUGCUUAAGAUAAACGAACGAAAAUAAAUCGCUAACAACGAGAGAAAAGGCGUUUCCAACAACGAGAGGAAAUCGAAGAAGACGCAGGAUUAAUUAUCUCAAGGAUAUUAUUAAUCAGCGAUAAACAAACUUACAAAGAAGCACGAACGUGCAAAUAUUUGACGAUGGCACAUGUACCAUAACCUGGCUUAACACUGAUACAUCGAUAACCUGAUAUGAACCGGUUUUUUGUUCCAUUACAGGUAUCCACCAACGAAAAACCAAACCGUGCCGUAAUAUUUAAAAAUAGAGAACGACGUAAGAGUUUAUAGGAUUUCGAAGAAUUCGCGCUUAGCUAGCUGUGACAAAGUUGA